rnacentral:rRNA from 1 species
CCGGAUAUGACCACAGCACAGCAUGGUGCAGUGGUGAAAGAAUUUCGCCUGGAGAGCGGAUCGCGGCCUAUCAGCUUGUUGGUGGGGUAACGGCCUACCAAGGCGACGACGGGUAGCCGGCCUGAGAGGGUGGACGGCCACACUGGGACUGAGACACGGCCCAGACUCCUACGGGAGGCAGCAGUGCUGAAUCAUUCACAAUGGGCGAAAGCCUGAUGAUGCGACGCCGCGUGGAGGAUGAAGGCCCUCGGGUUGUAAACUCCUGUCAGGGAUUAGGAAUAAUGACCAAUCCCAGAGGAAGCACCGGCUAAAUUCGUGCCAGCAGCCGCGGUAACACGAAUGGUGCAAGCGUUGUUCGGAAUCACUGGGCAUAAAGGGUGCGUAGGCGGCGCGGCAAGUCGGCUGUGAAAGCCCCCGGCUCAACCGGGGAAUUGCAACCGAUACUGCCGCGCUUGAGGGCGCGAGGGGUGAGUGGAAUUCCUAGUGUAGCGGUGAAAUGCGUAGAGAUUAGGAGGAACACCAGUGGCGAAGGCGGCUUCCUGGACAGUAACUGACGCUGAGGCGCGAAAGCGUGGGGAGCGAACAGGAUUAGAUACCCUGGUAGUCCACGCCGUAAACGAUGGAUACUAGGUGUAGGAGGUAUCGACCCCUUCUGUGCCGGAGUUAACACAUUAAGUAUCCCACCUGGGGAAUACGACCGCAAGGUUGAAACUCAAAGGAAUUGACGGGGGCCCGCACAAGCAGUGGAGUAUGUGGUUUAAUUCGAAGCAACGCGAAGAACCUUACCAGGGCUUGACAUCCCUUGACAGCUCUAGAGAUAGAGUUUCCCUUCGGGGCAAGGAGACAGGUGGCGCAUGGUUGUCGUCAGCUCGUGUCGUGAGAUGUUGGGCUAAGUCCCGUAACGAGCGCAACCCUUAUUGUUAGUUGCCAGCAAGUAAAGUUGGGCACUCUAACGAGAAUGCCGGUGAUAAAUCGGAGGAAGGUGGGGAUGACGUCAAAUCAUCAUGCCCCUUAUGUCCUGGGCUACACACGUACUUCAAUGGCUGGUACAGAGGGGAGCUAAGCCGCGAGGUGGAGCCAAUCCCCAAAACCAGUCCCAGUUCGGAUUGCAGGCUGCAAUUCGCCUGCAUGAAGUGGGAAUUGCUAGUAAUAGCAGGUCAGCAUACUGCCGUGAAUACGUUCCCGGGCCUUGUACACACCGCCCGUCACACCAUGAGAGUUUGCAACAC